UUCGAUUCCCGGCCAACGCAUCAG
rnacentral:piRNA from 1 species